rnacentral:rRNA from 1 species
CCUCAAGAUGAGAUCUCACUGGGAACUUGAUUCCCCUGAAGGGCCGUCGAAGACUACGACGUUGAUAGGCUGGGUGUGUAAGCGUUGUGAGGCGUUGAGCUAACCAGUACUAAUUGCCCGUGAGGCUUGACCAUAUAACACCCAAACA